rnacentral:misc_RNA from 1 species
UCCAACAAAAAUGAGCCAGGGCCCUCCGCCCCUCUAACCCACUCCCCCCCCACCUCGUCAUUCUGUGAUACGUCGCCAAAGCAAGGAAAAGGGGGCAGUUUCUCUGCAUCUCUAUUAGAUAGUGAGGUGGGCGCGAGCCCCCUCCCCUUCUUCCUUUCUGAUCGCUCGCUUCUAUCCAGCAGGUUACCUUCAUCACUCCGCCGCUCUCGGUCUCUCUCGCCCUUCGUUUCGCCACCUGCGCCUCAUCGAGUCUUCUCUGACCUCUGCCAGGUGGACUCCUCACCCGCGAGUAGUGUGAUGACGUCGAAAGGCAGCCCAGUCAGAAGCGGCGCGUCGCUCACAGCUGACGAGCUUGAGGAGAAGCUUGCGACGCUGCACAACUACCUCAGCACCCCGUACCGCGCGCGUGCGGAAGCCAUCUUGCAGCGACGUCGUCAGCGCGAAGCAAGAGCCUCACUUAACCGGUCACACAAAGUUCUCCAAGGGCCCGAGGGCGCAAAUCCGGGUAGAGUCCCAUUGGAGCGUGUCUCGGUACCCUUCCACUCGCCAGCAUCGAUCCAGAAUCCUUCCCCGGCAGAGAAAAAGGGAAACUCGGUUGAAAAGGCGCCCGGCGAAUCGCGCAUGCGUGUCGCUGCGGAUAUCUCUACCACACCCACGGAGUUUAAGAGCGAGUGCGACUCAGAAGAUGAGGUAUCGAAACGUGACGGUAGCAGCGGUCUCUCUGAGCCGUCACCUACAGCGUGUGCGCCAGCCCAAGCGCUACCCAUGGACCCCCACACGAGGCGGUACGUGCAACAGCUAGAAUGGCAGGUGAAGAUGCUGGCCGAUGCGCUCCAGCAAGAACGUGAGCGGCUCGCAGAGGUCGAUGCACGUGUGGUGCAGCCACUUCUGCGACUCGCAGAUGCGGCUCUGCAGCAACAGGUGCAGCUGGAAUGCGCACUGGCGUCGUGUCGUGCUCGUGAGCGCGAUGAGAGAGGUCCACUGCGUGAAGAAGUGUGCAGCGAGAGAGACGUCAACCUUCUUUGCAAGAGUCUUGGCGACAUACUGAAGGAAGGCAGGGAGGGUUCGGCUCCCUCUUGAGCACGCACCCCUUGCAUCCUCAAUCGUCUCCGUUCGCCUCUCUUCGCAACAGAGGGCGUCGUUAGCGUUGUUUUUC